rnacentral:rRNA from 1 species
UACGGAGGGUGCAAGCGUUAUCCGGAUUUACUGGGUUUAAAGGGUGCGUAGGUGGUCAGGUAAGUCAGUGGUGAAAUCUCCGGGCUUAACUCGGAAACUGCCAUUGAUACUAUUUGUCUUGAAUAUCCUGGAGGUAAGCGGAAUAUGUCAUGUAGCGGUGAAAUGCUUAGAUAUGACAUAGAACACCCAUUGCGAAGGCAGCUUACUACGGGAUCAUUGACACUGAGGCACGAAAGCGUGGGGAGCAAACAGG